AGAGUUUGAUCCUGGCUCAGGAUGAACGCUGGCGGCGUGCCUAACACAUGCAAGUCGAGCGGUAAGGCCUCUUCGGAGGUACACGAGCGGCGGACGGCUGAGUAACACGUAGGAACGUACCCCAAACUGAGGGAUAACUGCUCGAAAGAGUAGCUAAUACCGCAUGUGCUCUAAGGAGUAAAGCUUCGGCGGUUUGGGAACGGCCUGCGUAUGAUUAGAUUGUUGGUGAGGUAAUGGCUCACCAAGUCGACGAUCAUUAGCUGGUCUGAGAGGAUGAUCAGCCAGACUGGGACUGAGACACGGCCCAGACUCCUACGGGAGGCAGCAGUAGGGAAUUUUCCACAAUGGGGGCAACCCUGAUGGAGCAACGCCGCGUGCAGGAUGAAUGCUUUCGAGUUGUAAACUGCUUUUAUCUGUGACGAAUAGGACGGAGCAGAUGAAUAAG
rnacentral:rRNA from 1 species